GCCCAGGUGGCGGAACUGGUAUACGCAACGGGUUGAGGGCCCGUGCUCGCAAGAGCGUGAGGGUUCGAGUCCCUCCCUGGGCACCA
rnacentral:tRNA from 1 species